rnacentral:rRNA from 1 species
UACGUAGGGUGCGAGCGUUGUCCGGAAUUACUGGGCGUAAAGAGCUCGUAGGUGGUUUGUCGCGUUGUUCGUGAAAUCUCACGGCUUAACUGUGAGCGUGCGGGCGAUACGGGCAGACUGGAGUACUGCAGGGGGAGACUGGGAUUCCUGGUGUAGCGGUGGAAUGCGCAGAUAUCAGGAGGAACACCGGUGGCGAAGGCGGGUCUCUGGGCAGUAACUGACGCUGAGCCGCGAAAGCGUGGGGGAGCGAUCCGG